rnacentral:rRNA from 1 species
UACAGAGGUCCCGAGCGUUGUUCGGAUUCACUGGGCGUAAAGGGUGCGUAGGUGGCAAGGUAAGUUUGAUGUGAAAGCUCAGGGCUUAACCCUGAAAUGGCAUUGAAUACUACUGUGCUGGAGGUUUGGAGGGGGGACUGGAAUUCUUGGUGUAGCAGUGAAAUGCGUAGAUAUCAAGAGGAACACCAGUGGCGAAGGCGAGUCCCUGGACAACACCUGACACUGAGGCACGAAAGCUAGGGGAGCAAACGGG